rnacentral:tRNA from 1 species
GUGCUGGGGCUCAGUGGUGGAGCACUCGCCUAGCACACGUGAGGCCCUGGGUUCGAUCCUCAGCACCACA